GAUGAACGCUGGCGGCGUGCCUAAUACAUGCAAGUCGAGCGAACAGACGAGGAGCUUGCUCCUUUGACGUUAGCGGCGGACGGAUGAGUAACACGUAGGUAACCUACCUAUAAGACUGGGAUAACUUCGGGAAACCGGAGCUAAUACCGGAUAAUAUUUCGAACCGCAUGGUUCGAUAGUGAAAGAUGGCUUUGCUAUCACUUAUAGAUGGACCUGCGCCGUAUUAGCUAGUUGGUAAGGUAACGGCUUACCAAGGCAACGAUACGUAGCCGACCUGAGAGGGUGAUCGGCCACACUGGAACUGAGACACGGUCCAGACUCCUACGGGAGGCAGCAGUAGGGAAUCUUCCGCAAUGGGCGAAAGCCUGACGGAGCAACGCCGCGUGAGUGAUGAAGGUCUUCGGAUCGUAAAACUCUGUUAUUAGGGAAGAACAAACGUGUAAGUAACUGUGCACGUCUUGACGGUACCUAAUCAGAAAGCCACGGCUAACUACGUG
rnacentral:rRNA from 1 species